GAUGAACGCUGGCGGCGUGCCUAAUACAUGCAAGUCGAGCGAAUGGAUUAAGAGCUUGCUCUUAUGAAGUUAGCGGCGGACGGGUGAGUAACACGUGGGUAACCUGCCCAUAAGACUGGGAUAACUCCGGGAAACCGGGGCUAAUACCGGAUAACAUUUUGAACCGCAUGGUUCGAAAUUGAAAGGCGGCUUCGGCUGUCACUUAUGGAUGGACCCGCGUCGCAUUAGCUAGUUGGUGAGGUAACGGCUCACCAAGGCAACGAUGCGUAGCCGACCUGAGAGGGUGAUCGGCCACACUGGGACUGAGACACGGCCAAGACUCCUACGGGAGGCAGCAGCAGGGAAUCUUCCGGAAUGGACGAAAGUCUGACGGAGCAACGCCGCGUGAGUGAUGAAGGCUUUCGGGUCGUAAAACUCUGUUGUUAGGGAAGAACAAGUGCUAGUUGAAUAAGCUGGCACCUUGACGGUACCUAACCAGAAAGCCACGGCUAACUACGUGCCAGCCGCCGCAGUAA
rnacentral:rRNA from 1 species